rnacentral:sRNA from 2 species
ACGGGAUAAUCGCUUAAUCUCCGAUAUGGAGAGCGGGGGAACCACAUGUAUGGAUGGAUUAGAUAUAAUCCACUGACCAUACCCUGGGGUGAAUUCCGAUGACAGGCGCUUCCUUAUGCCGCGUGUUCAUCAGAUAGGGCGACUCUCACCGCCCGAAUCCGACAGCUAACCUCGUCAGCGUUGAUGGAGAGGGUUG